GGAGAGCUGUUAGGCAUGCAAGGGAUUUCCUUCAUGCAGGUGAGCUGGGCUAUUUGGUACUCUAUCCGUGGGUCAUCAUUCAUGCCUGAGGAGUACCGCAUGGUGGCUUGGAGAAGAAACCGAGCAUCUCCUGAACAUUCCUGAGAACGUGACUUGAAGUGUAAUGGAUGCUUGAUUGGUCCCUGAAGCAACUCAAUGGCACAGUUCCAGUAUCAUAGAAGGCCAAUUGAUUGGUCAGGCAGGAUCUGCCCUUGAUGAAGCCAUGCUGGUUAUCCUAUACCACCUCCUUCUCUUCUCAGCACCAUCACAUAUCUUCCAGGAGGAUCAGUUCCGUUAUCUUUUCUGGCACAGAGGUGAGGCUAACAGACUGGUAGUUCCCUGUGUGGUCCUUUCUACUCUUCAUAAAAAUGAGUGUGACGUUGCCUUUUCUCCAGUCACCAAGGACUUCACCUGACCACCUAUUCAAAGAUCAUUGAGAGUGUCUUGGCAACUACAUUAGCCAAUUCCCUCAGGAUUCUUGGAUGCAUCUCAUCAGAACCCAUAGGCUCAUGUUGUUCAGUUUCCUCAUUUGGUUGUGAACUUGAUCUUUGUUUACAGUGGGAGGGGCACAUUACUGCCCCCGUCCCCACCUUCCACCCAUUUGCCUGAAAGGUGUGUUAAGAGCAGUUAUUUCUAAAUCUCCCUGAAAGAAGUGCGUAUUAUUUCUACACUGCUGUGAAUUUCUUGAAAGAGCCAUCCUGCUCUAUCUCUCUGUGCUAUUGAUCUGUUUCUAUCCCUUUGGUCAGAUAGAGGGAACUUAAAUUAGAGAUUGCUAGUAAGGGAUCUAACAGAAGAGCUACUCCAAGAUUUCCACUGUGGGUCUUGGUAGAAUAGAGGAGAUUAAACUCAACAGUGUCAGCUAUUAUACAUUGGUUGGUUGGUGUUAUCCUUCCCUGAAGAGGCAGAUGCCAAGCUAGAUUAUAGAGGAAAAGGCAGUGUGACUAGAAACUUAACUGCAUUUAGCAGGCAAUAGUGAUCUUAGACAUCCUUUAGAAAAGCACCAUCAUUGUCAAACCCUUGAACUUUUGAUUCUUUGAGUCUUCGAAUAUACUAUGUCAACAGAGACUUCCUUUUUUUAUUAUUUAUUUAUUUAUUUAUUGUAGCAAAGAUGCUGAGGUAAUUUGCUUCAGUCACUUGUGUACAGGGACUAUUAAUCUGUGUUGUUUCUUCUGGGAAAUGGUGUUGUUAAACUGCAAUGAAUUUGUUUCUCAACUUUGAUAAAAUAAAAUAUUUAGUUCUA
rnacentral:lncRNA from 7 species